UACGUAGGGUGCGAGCGUUGUCCGGAAUUAUUGGGCGUAAAGAGCUCGUAGGCGGUUUGUCGCGUCUAUCGUGAAAACCUGCAGCUUAACUGUGGGCUUGCGGUGGAUACGGGCAGACUUGAGUUCGGUAGGGGAGACUGGAAUUCCUGGUGUAGCGGUGAAAUGCGCAGAUAUCAGGAGGAACACCGGUGGCGAAGGCGGGUUGCUGGGCCGACACUGACGCUGAGGCGCGAAAGCUAGGGGAGCGAACGGG
rnacentral:rRNA from 1 species